GCGGGCCCGAGGGUCCAAGAGGGAGAUGAAAUUAGGUCCAAAGAGAAGACCUGGGGGCAGCAGCGCCAAGGCCAACAGGGUCUCAGAUGGAUCUCCAAAGAGGGGGAACCAACCGCAGUUCCUAAGGGGACAGCUCCUGGGGGUGCGAGAGGAGGGGUCACAGCAGAUGGGUCAAAGAAGGGGACAGCCCCGAAGGGUGGGGAGAGCGGAAUCGGAGACGCGGCAAAGGGUCACGAAUCCCAAAGUGGGGGUCCAGAACGCAGGGAUGCAGAAGGGUCCCCGAGGAGGUGGGUCCGGGAUCACUGCAGAGUCCAGGAGGGGCGAGGGGCAUCACGGAGCUGCCUGGGGUGGGGUGGGGGGGCGCAGAACUGGGAAGAGAGAGGCCGAUCUGGGGGGGGCGAAGGCAGACCCCGAGAUCCGCACGGGUCGGCGCGGGGCAGCGGCGGGGCCAGCGGGCCGGGGCAGGGCCCGAGGGCGGGCCGGGCCGCAGCGCGAGGCGGCGGGGCGGCCGGGGCCCGGGGGGCUGGGGGCCGCUCGCGCCCCUCCCCCUCCGGCUCCUCCAUUGUUCGCGGGCUCCGGGCCCCGCCGUCCCCGCCUCCCCCUGGACCCCGCAGCGGGGCGGCGCCCGGCCUCGCCGCCGGGGCCCGCGGGCUCGCGCACUCACCAGCCGGGCGCUCAGCGCGGCGCCGGCCUCCGGGAUCCCGGCAGCGGCCCCGGCGGCCCCGGCGCCAUGUUCUGCUGCUCCUCGUCCAGCGGCGGCUGAGGCGGCGGCGGCGGCGGCGGCGGCGGCGGCGGCGGCGGCGGGGGGCCGGGCGGACCCUCCCUCGCGGGCUCCCUCCUCCGCCUCCUCCACCUCCUCCUCCCGCCGCGCCGCGGCUCUCCCUCGGGGCGGGGGGCGGGGAGGGGAAGGGGGGAGGGGCGGGAACCAGGGGGAGGGCGGACCAGCCUCGCUUGCUCCCUCCCUCCCUCCCUCCUUCGCAAUGGCGGCGGCGGCGGCGGCGCCUCCUUCCUGCGGCCGCCGCUCCCGCGAGCGCGCCCCUCGCUACUGCGCGUGCGUGGCGCGAGGACCGUUGCAGGGGGAUAACGGCCCCUGGGCGCGCGCCGCAAGGGGAUGACCGGCGCGGGGCAGGGGAGAAGCGAGAGCGCGUGCGCGCCCCAGGGGCUCCUUGCCGCCGCCGCCGCCGCGGCCUAGGGCUGAGAAUGGGCGCCGAGGACGCAGUGCGCGUGCGCCCCAAGAAAAUGCCGCUAAUGCGGUGGCUGCGGCGCGAGGAGACCCGCGACCCGGCAGAGGGAGUGCGGGGGGCGAGUGCGCGUGCGCUGGAAGGGCUGCCAGCCGCCGCAGCCCCUGGCGGGAGGCGGAGGGAGUGGCCCGCGGGAGGCGCGCGCACCCUUGCGCGCCCCAGAAGCAGCCAAUGCCCCCCGCCCCCCCGUCGCGCUGGUUCUUGCAGAAAGCGGGAGGGAGAGGCAUGGCCCGGCUUUGGGGGCGGGGGCGAAGGACGCGAUCCCGCUCGCGCGGGACCUGACCAGCCAAUGGGAGGCGAGGGGAGGUGGUUUUGCCGCGCGAGCCGCAGCCCCCGGGAUAACGGAGGAGGACAGAGGGGGCGACGUAACGUGGGGCGGUGGGGUGGGGCUGAGGAGGAGGUAGCGCACCCAGCGGAGGAGCUGAUUGGGGGACGUGAGGAGGCGUGGCCCGCCGCAGCCCAAUCCCAGCGUCUCAUUUCGUCGUCCCGGAAGAAGGGGCGGGGCCGGGGAGCGCGUGCUCUUUCCCUGACCGUGAAGGAAAUCUGCGGGCAACGCGCGCGGUAA
rnacentral:lncRNA from 1 species